rnacentral:rRNA from 1 species
UACGAGGGGGGCGAGCGUUGUUCGGAAUUAUUGGGCGUAAGGUGGCGCUAGCGGUUUGGUAAGUCUGAUGUGAAAUCUAUGGGCUCAACUCAUAGUCUGCAUCGGAAACUGCCGGGCUUGAGUGUGGGAGAGGUGAGUGGAAUUCCUGGUGUAGCGGUGAAAUGCGUAGAUAUCGCUUGGAACGCCGACGGUGAAAACAGUCUGCUGGGGGUGUGCUGACGCUGAGACACGAAAGCCAGGGGAGCGAACGGGG